CACUGCUCUCAGCUUUGGUCAGAGAAGCUUCUCCUUUCAGUGAACAAUGGUUGACGUAGAGACUCAAAACUGGUUGAAGCGCUGAGAGAGUCUAGCACGGCUGUCCUCUGAGACAGAUGCUGAUACUUACAGCCAAUCACUGGGCUGAGGUCAGGGACCCCUGUGGAAGAGCUAGGGGAAGAAUUGAAGGAGCUGAAGAAGACGCCAAACCCAUAGGAAGAACAACAGUGCUAACUAACCUGGGCCCCUAGGAGCUCUCAGAGACUGGGCUACCAACCAAAGAGCAAACAAAAUACUGGUCCAAGGCUUCCAGUACAUGUGUAGCCGAGGACUGCCUUGUCUGGCCUCAGUGGGAGCAGAUGAACAUAAUCUCGUAGAGACUUGAUGCCCCAGGGAAGGAGGAUGCCCAGGAUGGGAGGAGGCGUACCCUCUCAGAGUCAAAGGGGAGGGAGAAUGGAAUAAAGAACUCUGGGAGGGGGAACCUGGAAAGGGGGGCAACAUUUGGAAUGUAAAUAAAUAAACUAACUAAUCAAAA
rnacentral:lncRNA from 1 species